GCUUGUCUCAAAGAUUAAGCCAUGCAUGUCUAAGUAUAAGCACUUAUACCGUGAAACUGCGAAUGGCUCAUUAAAUCAGUUAUCGUUUAUUUGAUAGUACCUUUACCUGGAUAACCGUGGUAAUUCUAGAGCUAAUACAUGCUAAAAACCCCGACUUCGGGAGGGGUGUAUUUAUUAGAUAAAAAACCAAUGCCCUUCGGGGCUCCUUGGUGAUUCAUAAUAACUUAACGAAUCGCAUGGCCUUGCGCCGGCGAUGGUUCAUUCAAAUUUCUGCCCUAUCAACUUUCGAUUGUAGGAUAGAGGCCUACAAUGGUCUUAACGGGUAACGGGGAAUUAGGGUUCUAUUCCGGAGAGGGAGCCUGAGAAACGGCUACCACAUCCAAGGAAGGCAGCAGG
rnacentral:rRNA from 1 species